rnacentral:tRNA from 1 species
GGUCCGCUGGCGUAAUGGCAGCGCGUCUGACUACGGUCUGAUCAGGAGGUUCCAGGUUCGACCCCUGGGUGGAUCG